AACGAACGCUGGCGGCAUGCCUAACACAUGCAAGUCGAACGAGACCUUCGGGUCUAGUGGCGCACGGGUGCGUAACGCGUGGGAACCUGCCCUUAUGUUCGGAAUAACUCCCCGAAAGGGGUGCUAAUACCGGAUAAUGUCUUCGGACCAAAGAUUUAUCGCCUUUGGAUGGGCCCGCGUUGGAUUAGCUAGUUGGUAGGGUAAAAGCCUACCAAGGCGACGAUCCAUAGCUGGUCUGAGAGGAUGAUCAGCCACACUGGGACUGAGACACGGCCCAGACUCCUACGGGAGGCAGCAGUGGGGAAUAUUGGACAAUGGGCGAAAGCCUGAUCCAGCAAUGCCGCGUGAGUGAUGAAGGCCUUAGGGUUGUAAAGCUCUUUUACCCGGGAUGAUAAUGACAGUACCGGGAGAAUAAGCUCCGGCUAACUCCGU
rnacentral:rRNA from 1 species